rnacentral:rRNA from 1 species
AUCAACUUUCGAUGGUAGGAUAGAGGCCUACCAUGGUGGUAACGGGUAACGGGGUGUUAGGGCACGACACCGGAGAGGGAGCCUGAGAAACGGCUACCACAUCCAAGGAUGGCAGCAGGCGCGCAAAUUACCCAAUCCCGACACGGGGAGGUAGUGACAAUAAAUAACAAUACGGGGUUCUUAAGGAUCUCGUAAUUGGAAUGAGUACAAUUUAAAUCUCUUAACGAGGAACAAUUGGAGGGCAAGUCUGGUGCCAGCAGCCGCGGUAAUUCCAGCUCCAAUAGCGUAUAUUAAAGUUGUUGCAGUUAAAAAGCUCGUAGUUGAAUUUCGGGGUUAGUAGGUUGGUCAUGCCUCUGGUAUGUACUGGUCUCACUGAUUCCUCCUUCCUUAUGAACCGUAAUGCCAUUAAUUUGGUGUUGCGGGGAAUUUGGACUGUUACUUUGAAAAAAUUAGAGUGUUUAAAGCAGGCUAACGCUUGAAUACAUUAGCAUGGAAUAAUGAAAUAGGACGUUCGAUCUUAUUUUGUUGGUUUCUAGGAUUGACGUAAUGAUUAAUAGGGAUAGUUGGGGGCAUUAGUAUUCAAUUGUCAGAGGUGAAAUUCUUGGAUUUAUUGAAGACUAACUACUGCGAAAGCAUUUGCCAAGGAUGUUUUCAUUAAUCAAGAACGAAAGUUAGGGGAUCGAAGACGAUCAGAUACCGUCGUAGUCUUAACCAUAAACUAUGCCGACUAGGGAUCGGAUGAUGUUAAUUUUUUAAUGACUCAUUCGGCGCCUUACGGGAAACCAAAGUGUUUGGGUUC